rnacentral:rRNA from 1 species
GCAGUCGACGAGAGGACAUGGGAAGCUUGCUUCCUAUGAAAUCGAGUGGCAAACGGGUGAGUAACGCGUAAACAACCUGCCCUUCGGAUGGGGAUAACAGCCGGAAACGGCUGCUAAUACCGAAUACGAUCUUUUCGUCGCAUGACGGAAAGAAGAAAGGAUGGCCUCUAUACAAAGCUAUCGCCGAAGGAGGGGUUUGCGUCUGAUUAGCUGGUUGGAGGGGUAACGGCCCAACAGGGCGAUGAUCAGUAGCCGGUCUGAGAGGAUGAACGGCCACAUUGGGACUGAGACACGGCCCAGACUCCUACGGGAGGCAGCAGUGGGGAAUCUUCCGCAAUGGACGAAAGUCUGACGGAGCAACGCCGCGUGAGUGAAGAAGGUCUUCGGAUUGUAAAGCUCUGUUAUACGGGACGAAAAAGACGGAUGCCAACAGUAUCCGUCCGUGACGGUACCGUAAGAGAAAGCCACGGCUAACUACGUGCCAGCAGCCGCGGUAAUACGUAGGUGGCAAGCGUUGUCCGGAAUUAUUGGGCGUAAAGGGCGCGCAGGCGGCUCGGUAAGUCUGUCUUAAAAGUGCGGGGCUUAACCCCGUGAGGGGACGGAAACUGUCGAACUUGAGUGUCGGAGAGGAAAGCGGAAUUCCUAGUGUAGCGGUGAAAUGCGUAGAUAUUAGGAGGAANNNCGGUGGCGAAAGCGGCUUUCUGGACGACAACUGACGCUGAGGCGCGAAAGCGUGGGGAGCAA